AUUGAACGCUGGCGGCAUGCCUUACACAUGCAAGUCGAACGGCAGCACGGGAGCAAUCCUGGUGGCGAGUGGCGAACGGGUGAGUAAUAUAUCGGAACGUGCCCAGUCGUGGGGGAUAACGCAGCGAAAGCCGUGCUAAUACCGCAUACGAUCUCUGGAUGAAAGCGGGGGGACCUGCAAGGGCCUCGCGCGAUUGGAGCGGCCGAUAUCAGAUUAGCUAGUUGGUGGGGUAAAGGCCCACCAAGGCGACGAUCUGUAGCUGGUCUGAGAGGACGACCAGCCACACUGGAACUGAGACACGGUCCAGACUCCUACGGGAGGCAGCAGUGGGGAAUUUUGGACAAUGGGCGCAAGCCUGAUCCAGCAAUGCCGCGUGCAGGAUGAAGGCC
rnacentral:rRNA from 1 species